UUCUGGGAGGAUUGACAGAUUGAGAGCUCUUUCUUGAUUCGGAGGAUGGUGGUGCAUGUCCGUUCUUAGUUGGUGUAGUGAUUUGUCUGGGUAAUUCCGAUAACGAGUGAAACUCUAGCCUAUUAAAUAGGUGCCUGGUUCUUUGCGCCUUGCACCCUUCCUAGAGGCACAAGCGGUUCCUAGCCGCACGAAACAGAGCAAUAACAAGUCUGUGAUGCCCUUCGAU
rnacentral:rRNA from 1 species